GGGCGCGCUUCCGCCGCCGGCCAGCACGCGCGGGCCGCCGCCAUGAAGCCGAGAAAAAACACAAAGCGAGUUCCAAGUUUUCGCAAGUUACUGAGAACUAGUCAAAUAAAACUUGACAAUAAAUUAAAGAAUAAACAGUACAAGCAGAAGAGUGCUGCUAAGAAGUAUCGUAAAGAGCAGAAGAAGCUAAGGGAGGCUGUCAGAGAUGCUAUUUCUAGAAAGCCUUUUCCUUUGGAGGAAGGCAAGAAGAAACAAGUUGCUAGAAAAUGGGAGGAAAAAGAAGAAGAAGAUGCUCUUCCACUGGACAUGAUGGAUGAAGAUGACUUAAAAUUAAUGGAGGAUCUGGCUCAAAAGGCAUCCUUUUUAACCAGAGAUCUUUCUUCUAAUGAACCUGUUCACGUCAAAAAACGAAAACAUGAAAGUGUGAUUGAGAAGUACGAGAAGGUGCCAAGACGUUUGCAAACAGAGCCAGAAAAAGAGCUUAUCCAUCUGCUCCCCAUCAAAGACAAGAGUGGCAUAAUUCCUCAAGCUGUGGAAAAGCCAGUUCUCAAUGAUGCACAUGAGGAAGAAGAGGACACAGAAGAUAUGGAGGAAGCAGAGGACUUUAAUGAGGAACCCUUGCCUGUUCUCACUCCUGAGGAAAUGGCUGCUCAAAGGAGACAAAAGCUGCAGGAGAGGAAGAUGCACAUAGCUGCCUUAGCAUCUGCCAUUCUCUCAGAGCCAGACAGCAAUAUUAAGAAGCUGAAGGAGCUGCGUGCCAUGCUGAUGGAACAGGAUCCUAACGUGGCUGUGAUUGUUAGGAAGCUGGUCAUGGUGUCUUUGAUGGAGAUAUUCAAAGAUAUUGCACCUUCGUACAAAAUUCGACCUCUGACUGAAGCAGAAAAGGCUACCAAGGUUAAAAAAGAAACACAGAAACUGAGAGAAUUUGAAGAAGGCCUUGUAAGCCAGUAUAAAUUUUACUUGGAAAAUCUGGAACAAGCAAUUAAAGAUUGGAAGCAAAGGAAGUUGAAGAAAAGCAAUGUCAUCUCAUUAAAGGCAUAUAAAGGCCUAGCAGAGGUAGCAGUGAAGUGUCUGUGUGAGCUCCUUGUGGCCCUACCCCACUUCAAUUUCCACAAUAACAUUAUUGUUCUCAUUGUUCCGCUCAUGAAUGAUCCGUCAAAAAUGAUUUCUGAACUGUGUGUUGAGGCAGUUAAGAAGCUCUUUAAGCAGGACAAGUUGGGUUAUGCCUCACUUGGUGUAGUUAAAGUAAUUUCUGGCCUUGUGAGGAGUAGAAAUUAUGAUGUCAGACCUGAGGUAUUAAAAGUAUUUCUUCACUUAAGAAUUAAGGAAGUAGAAUUACAAAAAGAUUCUGAAGACAUUGCACCAAAGAAAAAGUUCAUGACUUACAAAGAGAAAAGAAAAAAUCUUUCCAGAAUGCAAAGAAAGUGGAAGAAAGCAGAAGAGAAACUGGAACGAGAGCUCCUGGAAGCAGAAGCAUCAGAAAGUAAAGAAAAGAAACUCAAGUUGCACACAGAGACCUUGAAUAUUGUAUUUGUAACUUACUUCAGGAUCUUGAAGAAAGCUCAGAAGUCUCCACUUUUGCCAGCUGUGCUAGAAGGUCUUGCAAAGUUUGCUCAUCUCAUAAAUGUGGAAUUUUUUGAUGACCUAUUGAUUGUCCUUCAUUCACUUAUUGCAUCUGGGGAUUUAAGCUAUCGCGAGAGUCUUCAUUGCAUUCUAAGUGCUUUUCAUAUACUCUCUGGUCAAGGUGAUGUUCUUAACAUUGAUCCAAUGAAAUUUUACACACAUCUGUACAAGACACUCUUCAGCCUACAUGCAGGUGGCACCAAUGAGGACAUAGGGAUUGUGCUGCAGUGCCUGGAUGUCAUGUUUGCCAAGAGGAGAAAGCAAGUUUCCCAGCAACGAGCUCUUGCUUUCCUAAAGCGACUUUCCAUCCUUGCUCUUCAUGUGCUUCCAAAUUCCAGUGUUGGGAUCUUGGCAACAAACAGGGUGUUCAUGCAAACAUUCCCAAGGAUGGACCUCUUACUAGACAACGAAUCUCAAGGCAGUGGGGUUUAUCUCCCAGAAUUAGAUGAACCAGAGCAUUGCAAUGCCCAGAACACAGCCCUGUGGGAGCUGCAUCUACUACAGAGACAUUAUCAUCCAACAGUGCAAAAAUUUGCAUCUCACCUUAUUGCUGGAGCUCCAGCUGAGGGCUCAGGAGCUCUUCCACUUGAUUUGAGCCAAAGGUCUGCUACAGAACUUUUUGAGACAUACUGUAUGAAAGAAAUGACCUUUAAUCCUCCUGUUGCAUCAGUAACAUCCAGAAGAAAGGAUACCUUCUUGCAAAUGGAUUCAUUUGUAGAUGAAGAACUAAACAAACAGCUUCAACAACACAUCAGUGAGACUGUUGCUCACACACCCUUGGAUUUUGCUAAGCACUUGAAGGAAUCAUCCUUGGCAUAAAUGUACCUAUCAAUCAAGUUCAUUUGGAUUCUUAAUUACAAAGAAAGAUUGGGUGAAAGAAAUCACCAGUCAUCAUAAAAGGUAUACAAGUAGGCUUUUGUGUGAAUAUAGAAACACACAAAAAUGUAACAGUUUUUCACAAUUACAGGUCUGUCCCCCAACCACCCAGCCCCUGUUCAGGGGGCUUGGGAAAUCAGUGAACUCUCAUAAAACACAGAAACCUAAGUAAUUUAAGAAUUGUUUGCAACCAUGCACAGUUGUAUUUUUGUUUAUGUAUUUUUCUAAUUUUUAUAACAGAAUAUUGACAUAUGUAUUUCUGUGAGCUCACUCAGCUGUGUUGAUAACUUAAUAAAUAUUUUGAAAAUAUUAACAUAAUACUGACUUUUCGAUGUUUAAGUUACCUAGACAUUUGGAAUAUGAAUUGCAUUUUUCCUGUUUCUCUUUUUAUGUCUUCUAACAAUUUAUCUCAUCUUGAAUUCAUUUUACAUUUGGUGGUUUUUUUCCCCUCUGAUGAACCUUGAUAUUGGCAAAUUAAGAAUAUUGAAUUUCAGUUCUAAACUAUCAUCAUGAUUGAAUACUCUACUGCAGUGUCUUUAAUAAAGCACUGCUGUCAAGAAUACUGGACAAAUGCAAGUUGUUUGAAGUCAAGCAAGAUGGAAGAAAUUGAAGAGAUACAGAAAGGGUAGUGUAAAUGUUUAAACAUGUCUGGCAAAAUUUCCACGGACAGAAGUUAACACUAUAAACUUGUUCUAGCUGAAAAAGAGAUCACCAAUCCUGAUGAUUUUAUUAUCUGGACAUAAUAAAAUAAAAUCUCUACUGCUCACUUCCAUUUGCCACGGCCCAGAGCAAAAGAGUAACAGAACAUCACUGCUUAAGCACAGCUGUUGAUAAAAAGGAGUACUGCAAAAUCAACCGGGAUGCAACAUUUUUGCAUUAAAUGGACAGAGAAAGUGGGUAAAACUCCACCACUGAUUCACUUGGAGCCCUUCCUGCUGUCAUCGUGGCUGUGCACAACAGUGUAUGAGGCUUUUACGGCUCACUCUGUCAGUCCUUGUACCUCGCUUGGUUUGAUCAGCUACAGCUUGGAAGCAGGACUGCUCUGUGAAUGCUGCACUGAAUGCCUGCUCAGUGCUCGGGUCAGUGUCUCAUACCUGAGCAGGCCUUGUCUGGCAGCAGCCCGGACUAUUCCAUGAUGUCACUGAAGGCCAAGGCGCACGCGGCUCUCUCGUCCCUGCCCUGGGGACUGUCGGACAGGACCUGCAGCGGCGGCGACACGAAGCCCCGGUACUGCUUACUCGACUUGGUCAACUUCUUCAGCUCACUGGUGAAGGAGAUGCCUUUUCUCUUGUCAUCUCGUGCUGCCUGUAAAAAUUAAAAAAGAUCAUAGAGGUGGUUUAACAGCUGCUUGUUUGCUGGGAAAUAAUGAAGAUGAAAACACCUAACAUGCUGCUAAGCGGCUUCCCUUUAGGAAUUCAGUAUGGCUGUGCUUUCAUCCAGACACUUCCUUCUGAUUGUUCUGAAUAAAUUAAUUAAAACUG